rnacentral:rRNA from 1 species
GACGAACGCUGGCGGCGUGCUUAACACAUGCAAGUCGAGCGAGAUCCAUCCAGUGGCAACACUGAUGAAGAUCUAGCGGCGAACGGGUGAGUAACACGUGAGCAACCUGCCCCGAAGACCGGGAUAACAGCGGGAAACCGCUGCUAAUACCGGAUGCCCUCACCGGGCCGCAUGACCUGGUGAGGAAAUGGCUGAGUCUUAAUAAACUCAGUCCGCUUCGGGAGGGGCUCGCGGGCUAUCAGCUUGUUGGUGAGGUAACGGCUCACCAAGGCUACGACGGCUAGCUGGUCUGAGAGGACGACCAGCCACACUGGGACUGAGACACGGCCCAGACUCCUACGGGAGGCAGCAGUGGGAAUCUUGCGCAAUGGGCGAAAGCCUGACGCAGCGACGCCGCGUGAGGGAUGACGGCC